GAGUUAACAACUCCCAAACCCCCAUGUGAACCUAUAUCCAAUGUUGCUUCGGCGGGAGCGCCCCGGCUCAGCCCGGAAGCAGGCGCCCGCCGAGGACCCCCUAAAUCGUGUUUCCUACAGUUUCUUCUGAGUGGCAAACGCAAAAUAAAUUAAAACUUUUAACAACGGAUCUCUUGGCUCU
rnacentral:misc_RNA from 1 species